rnacentral:ribozyme from 1 species
AGUUGCAAGUUUGAAGCCGUAGCAGAAGUGCUCAUGGUGUGGCCCUGUCAGAUUCCAAAGGACCUGUGAAUUCUGCU